AACGAACGCUGGCGGCAUGCCUAACACAUGCAAGUCGAACGAGACCUUCGGGUCUAGGGGCGCACGGGUGCGUAACGCGUGGGAACCUGCCCUUAGGUUCGGAAUAACUCCCCGAAAGGGGUGCUAAUACCGGAUAAUGUCUUCGGACCAAAGAUUUAUCGCCUUUGGAUGGGCCCGCGUUGGAUUAGCUAGUUGGUAGGGUAAAAGCCUACCAAGGCGACGAUCCAUAGCUGGUCUGAGAGGAUGAUCAGCCAGACUGGGACUGAGACACGGCCCAGACUCGUACGGGAGGCAGCAGUGGGGAAUAUUGGACACUGGGCGAAAGCCUGAUCAAGCAAUGCCGCGUGAGUGAUGAAGGCCUUAGGGUUGUAAAGCUCUUUUACCCGGGAUGAUAAUGACAGUACCGGGAGAAUAAGCUCCGGCUAACUACGUG
rnacentral:rRNA from 1 species